GCAUGAAGUCGGAAUUGCUAGUAAUCGCGGAUCAGCAUGCCGCGGUGAAUACGUUCCCGGGCCUUGUACACACCGCCCGUCACACCAUGAGAGUCAGCAACACCCGAAGCCUGUGAGCUAACGCAAGAGGCAGCAGUCGAAGGUGGGGUUGGUGAUUGGGGUGAAGUCGUAACAAGGUAUC
rnacentral:rRNA from 1 species